UGCGUAGGUGGUUUCUUAAGUCAGAGGUGAAAGGCUACGGCUCAACCGUAGUAAGCCUUUGAAACUGGGAAACUUGAGUGCAGGAGAGGAGAGUGGAAUUCCUAGUGUAGCGGUGAAAUGCGUAGAUAUUAGGAGGAACACCAGUUGCGAAAGCGGCUCUCUGGUCUGUAACUGACGCUGAGGCGCGAAAGCGUGGGGAGCAAACA
rnacentral:rRNA from 1 species